rnacentral:lncRNA from 1 species
CAUUCAAUCCCCUGUCCCCGCCCCCCCCCCCCCCACCCAGGGUUACGCCACCCCCCCCAAAACCACCUCCGGAACCGAACCGCGGGGCCUGGCCUCGGCGCGCCGGGCUCCCCCUGGCCGGGGCCGGGUUGGUUCGGAGGCUGCUGGAAAGAGACAGCCAUUGAAACGGGAAUUCUAUUUAUGUAUAAAAGAGGACGAUCCGCCAACAGGAGCCAGACAUGCGGCUGUGUCAGGGUGGGGCGGGAGGAGACGCCUGCCCGGACGCUGGCCUCGGACCGCUCCGGCAAGGCCUCUCCCCGGCCCUCAGAGCACGGGAGCGGCAGCCGGGCCGUGGAGAGGUGGGAGCUGGCCCCCUGUGCUGAGAAGAGAAGCUGUGAUUGGCUCAGCGGUCAAAUGGGGGUGCCUCUGCAGUGCCCCCCAUUUCCUGUGCCACAGACGGCCCCUGGGACCCGCCAGACCGAGAGCCAGAGAAGGGGAACCCGGCGGGGUGAGGAGCGGGCAGUGGCUCAGCGCGGGACGGCGUCUCAGCUCCAGCGCUGGGCACGCGGCCCAAGGAGCCCGAUAGUCUGUGCGGAACGACGCCGCCGUGUUCAUGAAGGGGCCGGCUUCGCCACAGGGCCCUGGCCUGCAGCUCAGGGCUGGGGGAUGCCGGCUUUCGACACAGCCUGACCCGGUGGAGGGAGAGCUGUGCCGGGCGCCUCCACGGGCCGUGGGGCUUGUUCGCCAGCAGACGCGGCCCUGAGCUCUCCUAGCGAUGCCGGGCCGCAGCCAGGUCGCGGGGCAGGGGGUGGGGAGACAGGCGCUGCGGAGUGAGUGCGUACGGGGGUCACGGCAGCGUGCGGGUGGGCGAGGAUUCACACCCAGCCACAGCUGCACGGGGUCUCCCCAUUACCCAGCUCCUGCCCAGAAGCCCUGAGCUGCAUCCGACCCGAGCGAUCUCGGUGUGUCCUGCCCCUCGGCUGCCACUCCCCAGCGCUGGCGCCCAGCCUGCGAGACCAACCGCUGCCGGUGGCAGCUGUCGACAGAGACAGCCCCUGGCUCUCUGCUUGCGGCCUGGCUUCUGCCUUGGGCCGCCCCACGGGCACGUACCCUGCUGUGUUGGAACAAGCUGAGCUCAUGAUUGGGCAGCUGCCUGGUCUGGGGUACAGCUUAAAGCCCUCCCUGCCCCCAGCCUGUGCCAGACCGACCUGGAGCCCCAAGCUCAGCCUGCUCUGGGGCUGCCCUCUACUGCACCCACCACAGCCCCUCGGUUUUCACCCCUUUCCUAGGGCAGUGCCCUCCCAUUGCCAGGCCCCACCGGCCGCUGACCCCAGGAGCCAGGCUCAGCAGCAGAGGACGGGGUGGGUGAGGGUGCAGGGUGACAUGGCACUUAACCAAACAGCCUCCUUCGUCCUCGCCGCCAGGGCAGGGCCCCAUCCCGUGCCCUGUCCCCGUGCAGGUGCUCGGAUUGCACUAGUGUAAAUGGGAGCUGGAGUGGGUCCCGGAUUCCAGCUCACCUCGGCUUCCCUCGUCCUUCUCCUGGGUCCUUCCUGCCCAUCCGGCCCCAACGCCCCCUGCCUGUGUAAGGCCAGAACGGAGCUGGGCAGGGGAGGGCAUUGUGACAGGCCCUGCUGUCUGCGUGUGUGUGUCCGUGGGCUAGAAUGGCAGACAGGCCGUGCGGCCGGGCCUGCUCGCUAGCACGGGGAGUUCCCCUUCAGCUCCAGCAGCAGGGGCUGUGUUUUGGGUGUACAAGCUCUGGAGUCCUGGCCCCUGACGGUGCCGAAGGCCUGGGCCCACAGCCUGGGUUUAUUGCAACCACUGACCCCGGGAGAGUGCGGGUGUGCAACACACGAUGGGGACCGGCCCUCUGCUCGGCUUGUUCUUACGGAGCCUGGGACUGUCCCGAGAGAGGCCAGCUCCCAGCUGAGCUCCACAGCCUCCUCCGUCCGUCCCCUCGGCUGCCGCUUCACCCCCGCGGAGCUGCCGCCCGGUGCAACCUGACUGGUUCGAUAACGAGCCUCCAGCGCGGCUUGGGAACGACCGUCGCUUCAAACGCAGGGACAGUCGGCUCCAGAUCGGCCACAGGCAGACGUCCCCGAGCGUCCUGGCGAGAGAGAGAGAGACUGCGUGGCUAAGGCAACCCCCCCACACACACCUGGCGCCGGUGGUACCCGGCCAGCCCUCUAGGCAAUGUGAGUGACUCCGUCUUCUCCUAAACAUCACCGCCACGGAGAGAGAGACAAGAGCCUGCCCAGCCAGCCUGUUCUGCCGGUGCGGCUGGAAGGGGCCCAAGCCGUGGGGCUGGUGCUGAGCCCCUCGGGUGUCCCACAGCCUGGCAGAGCCCCGGCCCGCUCUCCUCGGGAGGCUUUGCAGGCUCUCCUGCCAUCGGGCACCAGCUCUCCCCGGCGAAUUGACUUUGGCCUUCGCUCCGUUUCCAGGCUGCCCUGGUAUUUGGGGGCGGGGGACAGGGGACCACCCAUGAAGCCGCUUGGAAACCCUGCUGUGGCUGGGAGCGCAGAGCUCCCGAACAAGCAGCCUCCCCUGCCCAUCACCAGAGCAGCGGGGGCCUAUGCGGGCAGGUCGGCCGGGCAAACACCCCCCCGGCUCCACCGCUCCCAACCCGAGCCUGAGCCGCUGUGGCAGAGCAAACAAGCUGGCUCUUAGGCGGUGGGCCAGCCCCGAGACGGGGAUGGGAGCUGUGGAUGCCCCGUGCUUCCUCCCCUCAUCCUCCUUUGCAGCAUCCGCCCCCCAGCCCCUCCCUCUGCAUGGAACGGGCGCCCCAAGCGCGCGGCCCCCAGCCCUGAAGCUGGUGUCAGGCAGUGGUUUCUCACGCGCUGCCUUUGCGGCAUGGAAGUUAGCGACAGAGGUGGACACGCCCCCCCCUGCACCUGCGCCAGGCCUGCGAGGGGCUGCCAGGCUGCCCACUCCAGUGGUCUCUGCCCACUCCCACAGCCGCAUCACCCUCCUGGUCUGAGCCCUCCUGCCUGCCUCGCCAUACAGUCGCAGGGGAAGCCUGCGCUCUCCAAGGGUUCCCUCGCUGGUACCCCGAGGCUCUGCCCAGCGGAUGUGGCUCGCUGGGAGCUGCUGCUGGCCGGCCCCGGGGGAUGCGCUGCCCUGGAUGAGUGGAGGAAGGGCUGGGUGGUGCCUUGCCUGGGGCAAUAAUGUCUCAGAGUCUGCGUGGCCAGUGAUAGCA